rnacentral:rRNA from 1 species
GACGAACGCUGGCGGCGUGCUUAACACAUGCAAGUCGAACGGAAAGGCCCCUUUGGGGGUACUCGAGUGGCGAACGGGUGCGUAACACGUGAGUAACCUGCCCUUGACUUCGGGAUAACUUCAGGAAACUGGGGCUAAUACCGGAUAGGAAUCCUUGCUGCAUGGUGGGGGUUGGAAAGCUUCGGCGGUUUUGGAUGGACUCGCGGCUUAUCAGCUUGUUGGUGGGGUAGUGGCUUACCAAGGCUUUGACGGGUAGCCGGCCUGAGAGGGCGACCGGCCACAUUGGGACUGAGAUACGGCCCAGACUCCUACGGGAGGCAGCAGUGGGGAAUAUUGCACAAGGGGCGGAAGCCUGAUGCAGCAACGCCGCGUGCGGGAUGACGGCCUUCGGGUUGUAAACCGCGUUCAGCAGGGGCGAAGCUUGUGGUGACGGUACCUGCAGAAGAAGCACCGGCUAACUACGUG